rnacentral:misc_RNA from 1 species
GCAAACUUGGUCAUUUAGAGGAAGUAAAAGUCGUAACAAGGUUUCCGUAGGUGAACCUGCGGAAGGAUCAUUAAAAGUUGCAGCCACGCCCUCCCCGCGCGGCAGGCGUGCGCUCGCGGCAAACAUCUCAACCCCUCCUCGCGGGUCCCCCCUUGGGAGGGCCCGCGGCGAGGAAGCGAGAAAUAAACCCCUUUGUGAACCUUUAAAUCUUCUGCUUCGGCAGCGCGUCUUCCUUGGAUGACGGUGAGGCUGCCGGUAGCCCAUUACUUAAACCCAUGCCACUUAAAUCAUGCGGUCUGAUACUUGAUGAAUUUAAAUAAAGUUAAAACUUUCAGCAACGGAUCUCUUGGUUCCCGCAUCGAUGAAGAACGCAGC